AUGAAACGAAACAACAGAACUGCUGCCACAGCAAUGAGCGCUGCUCCAUCGAGCCAGCAAUUCAGCUUCAGCAAACAUCAACAGUCCGAAAGGAAAUUAGCUCUGGGGGAGCACAGAAGAGUACCAGAUUUCAGACCUUCCUCCCACCCCAAAAAGGAGAAACACCCUGUUAACCUCACUGAUCCCUCAGAAGCCCCCACCCCACCACAUGUGAUAAGGAAAUAGAAAAGAGAGCAGCAGAGUGUCUACCGUUGGCACAAUGGGCUGUGUUUCUCUAACUCUGGGGCCUUGAGUUGUUGGAGAGGACAUCACGAAAGGCUCGUGUCCCCAUCGAACAGACCCUGGGAACUGGGGCAGCAGAAGCAGCUCUGGUGAGUAUUUUGGGUAAAUGGUGUGAUAGGAGGUUAGCAUGCCAGAAUAGGAAACCAGCUUGUAAGGACACAGAAGAAAAGACACUAGGUCCAGACAAGUCAGGGAGCACCAAUCAAAUGACACACAUCUGGGCGAGUUAAGUUCAGGGCCCAGAAAGUCAGAAAAUUAGCAAAGUCAACACUGGUAUGCUGCUCUCUUUAAUAAGUCUGCCCCGUGUUAGUGAGUAAGGGCUCCUUGAAUUUUCUGACAGUCAAGAGGGAGGGUUAAGGAAAGACAUAAGUUGGGGCCUUCAUAGUGGUUCCAAGAGUAUCUUCCUCCUCUCAGGAUGGGCCUUUCUCCCUCCUGGGACUCGGCCUGGAGACAUCCAUGCAGCUUCCUUGAUGGGGCUGCUGGUUCACAGCACCCUGACCAUUCAGGAGCUGGUAAAUUUCCCUUCCUUGGGAAUAAUUCUUGGUCAAACUAGAUAUUCUUCCUUACCCUUGACCUAUUUUGAGAAGGAAAUAGGAACAGGAGCAACUAUGCAGUAGGUAUUAUCCCUGUGUGCUUAAUAGCGCUAAGGAAGAAUUUUCAGAGAUUUAGAGUGGGGGUGAGGGCAAGAGGAAAUGAGACCAGAGGAAAUUGGUGAGCCGUGGCUGUAAUUGGAGGACGCUAAGCUUUGCACAGAGGCAUUCUGGCCACCAAACCUUCUCCUCUGCAGAUAAUGGUCUCCCUGAAGGCUGGAGCUUCUGGAUCAGGAUAGCAUGGGUGGCUGGAGCUGCCUGUGCCAGCUGGUAGUGGUGGGGACCCACAUGCGUGGGUGAUAUGGCUUGGCUGUGUCCCCACUCAUAUCUCAUCUUGAAUUGUAAUUCCCAUAAUCCCCACAUGUCAUGGGAGGGACCCGGUGGGAGGUAAUUGAAUCAGGGGAGCAGUUUCCCCCAUGCUUUUCUUGUGAUAGUGAGUUCUCUUGAGAUCUGAUGUUUUUAUAAGCAUCUGGCAUUACCCCUGCUGGCACUCAUUCUCUCUCUUCUCCUGAAGAGUUGUGUUCUGCCACGACUCUAAGUUCCCUAAGGUC
rnacentral:lncRNA from 1 species